UAGAAAUCUACUUUACCUAUCAUACCUGGACCCUAAUACACAACCCAACCUCUCUGUCAUAACUCUCUGUUCAUAGAAGUGUUUCUACAAAAUUUAUAAAAUUAAUUAAAUUGUUUUAUAUAAAAUGUUUUUUUUUUAAAUUUUUUUUACAAUAAAAAAAUUUUUUUUCCUUUUCUAUACUUGUAAUGUUCUUCUAAAGGAUAUUUUAAUCCUUUUUGAAAUCUUUUUAUGAUGUGUCCAAUAUUUGGAUAAUUUUCUGUAAAAUUGUUCAUCCCCUGAUGAGGAACCAUAUGGUUCGAAACUAGUCGGGAUUAUAAAAUAAACAUCAUAUAAAAUAACCGUAUCUAGGCCUUUUCAUUAUCC